UCUUCUUUAUAUAUGCUUUUGACCUUUUCUCAUACCUUUUGUAAUCUCUAUCUAAAACUAAAAAAUGAAGCUAGUUAUUUUCAAUCACAUGGAUUAUGUUCAUCAUUUGUCUACCUUAGCCAACAAUCUCGCUUGGCAAAAGUCACUACAAUCUCAAUGCAAAACUUGAGACAUGGGCAUGGGUAAAUCUAGCCUUGCCGCACGCUUUGUCAAGGGCCAAUUCCUUGAAUUACAAAUAAUGCGAUGGUGAAGUUCGAGAUCUUGGAGACAACCGGGAAAGAAAGGUACCAUAGCUUGGCUUCUAGAUACUAUCGAGGCGCUACAGCGGCAAUAUUUUAUUUAUGACAUUACUAGCACGGUAUCCAUAUAAUUUAAUUCGUUAGUGUAUGAAUUUACUUAAUUAAUCUACUGUGGAAGUUGUAUUGUAUAUUGUUGAAUUUAUAUUAGGGCAUGCUUUGUUUUUUAGGAGUUGUUCUUUACGUACAAUACUUAUAACUGAAUAGGUAUAUAGGUAGAUAUCUUAAAAACAUUUGUAAAUGUCAUAAAAAAAACAAAGCUUGUGGUAGCUUUUUCAUUUAUGAGGAUCACUGGAAUGGGAGCUAA